GAUGAACGCUGGCGGCGUGCCUAAUACAUGCAAGUCGAGCGAACGGACGAGAAGCUUGCUUUUCUGAUGUUAGCGGCGGACGGGUGAGUAACACGUGGAUAACCUACCUAUAAGACUGGGAUAACUUCGGGAAACCGGAGCUAAUACCGGAUAAUCUUUUGAACCGCAUGGUUCAAAAGUGAAAGACGGUCUUGCUGUCACUUAUAGAUGGAUCCGCGCUGCAUUAGCUAGUUGGUAAGGUAACGGCUUACCAAGGCAACGAUGCAUAGCCGACCUGAGAGGGUGAUCGGCCACACUGGAACUGAGACACGGUCCAGACUCCUACGGGAGGCAGCAGUAGGGAAUCUUCCGCAAUGGGCGAAAGCCUGACGGAGCAACGCCGCGUGAGUGAUGAAGGUCUUCGGAUCGUAAAACUCUGUUAUUAGGGAAGAACAGAUGUGUAAGUAACUGUGCACAUCUUGACGGUACCUAAUCAGAAAGCCACGGCUAACUACGUG
rnacentral:rRNA from 1 species